AGACAUCUGCAUUUUCCUACAGACUGCAUUUGCAGCUUGAUGUGAAAGGAACAAUAUUUGACCAAAGCAGAACAACCCAUCAUUUUGCCUUAAGAUCAGGAUGGAGAACACCUUAUUCAGUCUGCGGUGCUUAAUGUUGUUGAACACUCUCCUCUGCUGCGGACUAACUCAAGAUGCUGUGCUGACAAUUCAGCCCAACUGGUCGACAUUUUAUAGAGGAGAGUCUGUUACUUUCAUCUGUGACAUGAAUGAAGGAAAAGAAACUGACUGGGAUUAC